UGGGGAAUAUUGGACAAUGGAGGAAACUCUGAUCCAGCGAUGCCGCGUGAGUGAAGAAGGCCCUAGGGUUGUAAAGCUCUUUUGUCAGGGAAGAUGAUGACGGUACCUGAAGAAUAAGCACCGGCUAACUCUGUGCCAGCAGCCGCGGUAAUACAGAGGGUGCAAGCGUUGUUCGGAAUUACUGGGCGUAAAGGGCGCGUAGGCGGUUUUGUAAGUUGGAUGUAAAAGACCUGGGCUUAACCUGGGGAAUGCGUACGAUACUGCAAGACUAGAGUGCAGGAGAGGAUAGUGGAAUUUCCGGUGUAGAGGUGGAAUUCGUAGAUAUCGGAAGGAACACCAGUGGCGAAGGCGGCUAUCUGGUCUACAACUGACGCUGAGGCGCGAAAGCGUGGGGAGCAAACAGGAUUAGAUACCCUGGUAGU
rnacentral:rRNA from 1 species